UACGGGGGGGGCAAGCGUUGUUCGGAAUUACUGGGCGUAAAGCGUGCGCAGGCGGUUUUGUAAGCCAGAUGUGAAAGCCCCGGGCUUAACCUGGGAAUGGCAUUUGGGACUGCAAGGCUUGAGUGCGGCAGAGGAGACUGGAAUUCCUGGUGUAGCAGUGAAAUGCGUAGAUAUCAGGAGGAAUACCGAUGGCGAAGGCAGGUCUCUGGGCUGACACUGACGCUCAUGCACGAAAGCGUGGGGAGCAAGCAGG
rnacentral:rRNA from 1 species